rnacentral:rRNA from 1 species
AGCAUUCCUUUCGGGGGUGUAUGGAGUGGCGAACGGGUGAGUAACACGUGAGUAACCUGCCCUUUAUCUUUGGGAUAACGUGCGGAAACGUGCGCUAAUACUGAAUAUUCUCAUUCUGCUGCAUGGUGGGGUGGGGAAAGGACCUUUGGGUUUGGUGGGGGGUGGGCUCGCGGCCUAUCAGCUUUGUUGGUGGGGUGAUGGCCUACCAAGGCGUGGACGGGUAGCCGGCCUGAGAGGGUGUUCGGUCACACUGGGACUGAGAUACGGCCCAGACUCCUACGGGAGGCAGCAGUGGGGGAUUUUGCACAAUGGACGAAAGUCUGAUGCAGUGACGCCGCGUGGGGGAUGAGGGCCUUCGGGUUGUAAACCUCUUUCGCCAUCGACGAAGCCAAGCUUUGGUUUGGUGACGGUAGGUGGAGAAGAAGCACCGGCCAACUACGUGCCAGCAGCCGCGGUAAUACGUAGGGUGCGAGCGUUGUCCGGAUUUAUUGGGCGUAAAGAGCUCGUAGGUGGUUUGUCGCGUUGGUCGUGUAAUCCCGCAGCUUAACUGUGGGUCUGCGGCUGGUACGGGCAGGCUGGAGUGCAGUAGGGGAGACUGGAAUUCCUGGUGUAGCGGUGAAAUGCGCAGAUAUCAGGGGGAACACCGGUGGCGAAGGCGGGUCUCUGGGCUGUUACUGACACUGAGGAGCGAAAGCGUGGGGAGCGAACAGGAUUAGAUACCCUGGUAGUCCACGCUGUAAACGUUGGGCGCUAGGUGUGGGGGGCUUUAUUGUUUUCUGUGCCGUAGCUAACGCUUUAAGCGCCCCGCCUGGGGAGUACGGCCGCAAGGCUAAAACUCAAAGGAAUUGACGGGGGCCCGCACAAGCGGCGGAGCAUGCUGCUUAAUUCGAUGCAACGCGAAGAACCUUACCAGGGUUUGACAUACACUCUUUACUCCCAGAG